AGAGUUUGAUCAUGGCUCAGAUUGAACGCUGGCGGAAUAGCUUUACACAUGCAAGUCGAACGGCAGCACGGGCAACCUGGUGGCGAGUGGCGAACGGGUGAGUAAUACAUCGGAACGUGCCCAAAUCGUGGGGGAUAACGUAGCGAAAGUUACGCUAAUACCGCAUACGAUCUACGGAUGAAAGCGGGGGAUCGCAAGACCUCGCGCGAAUGGAGCGGCCGAUGUCAGAUUAGGUAGUUGGUGGGGUAAAGGCUCACCAAGCCAACGAUCUGUAGCUGGUCUGAGAGGACGACCAGCCACACUGGAACUGAGACACGGUCCAGACUCCUACGGGAGGCAGCAGUGGGGAAUUUUGGACAAUGGGCGCAAGCCUGAUCCAGCCAUUCCGCGUGCAGGAUGAAGGCUUCGGGUUGUAAACUGCUUUUGUACGGAACGAAACGGCGAGCUCUAAUACAGUUUGCUAAUGACGGUACCGUAAGAAUAAGCACCGGCUAACUACGUG
rnacentral:rRNA from 1 species